rnacentral:ncRNA from 2 species
AAGCAUGACGGAGGCGCAACCAACAUCAUUAACUUCCGACAGGGCGGGGAAAUCCUUUAGGGAUGCCCGGAAGCGAAAGGGGAGGUUGCCGAGGAUGCGGAUCUUUCCCAAAGAUUUGCAUCCGGGCGAACGGAAAAUAUCCGUUCGACUGUCGCUAUCGCGGAGAGCUGUCAUGACG